AACGAACGCUGGCGGCAUGCCUAACACAUGCAAGUCGAACGAGACCUUCGGGUCUAGUGGCGCACGGGUGCGUAACGCGUGGGAACCUGCCCUUAGGUUCGGAAUAACUCCCCGAAAGGGGUGCUAAUACCGGAUAAUGUCUUCGGCCCAAAGAUUUAUCGCCUUUGGCUGGGCCCGCGUUGGAUUAGCUAGUUGGUAGGGUAAAAGCCUACCAAGGCGACGAUCCAUAGCUGGUCUGAGAGGAUGAUCAGCCACACUGGGACUGAGACACGGCCCAGACUCCUACGGGAGGCAGCAGUGGGGAAUAUUGGACAAUGGGCGAAAGCCUGAGCCAGCAAUGCCGCGUGAGUGAUGAAGGCCUUAGGGUUGUAAAGCUCUUUUACCCGGGAUGAUAAUGACAGUACCGGGAGAAUAAGCUCCGGCUAACUCCGUG
rnacentral:rRNA from 1 species